rnacentral:piRNA from 1 species
UGCAGCAAGAGGUCAUCUUCUACUC